UAUUUCACACAGUGGAUUAUUGGGAUUCUCUAUUUUCUGCAAUCUUCUAUUUAUAACUAUGAUACUAACUUCUCCUUCAGUUCGAUCUCCACGACUAACAAUACCUCCUGGAACCAGUCCUAUUGCAUUGCUUGAUUCUCCCAUCAUGCUGCGAAAUUCUCAAGUAUUUAUAUCAUCACAAUCUCAUUUUUCAUUUUCAAUAUCACAUGACUUCGUUGUUAUUUUUCUUGUUGUAAUUGCACCAGUUAAUUUAGUCGUUCAAAUUUAUGAAAUUUGUCUUUAAGUUUUCAUUAAUCUCUAUUUUGCAAUCCGAAUUCAUGAGAUUUGGUUAGA
rnacentral:lncRNA from 1 species